UACGUAGGAGGCGAGCGUUGUCCGGAGUUACUGGGCGUAAAGGGUGCGCAGGCGGCGGUUCGCGUGGAUAGAUGAAAUCUCCUGGCUUACCUGGGAGGAUGGUAUCCAGACGGGAUCGCUUGAGGGUCGGAGAGGGGCGUGGAAUUCCGGGUGGAGCGGUGAAAUGCGUUGAUAUCCUAAGGAACACCUGUGGCGAAGGCGGCUCACUGGCCCGAUACUGACGCUGAGGUGCGAAAGCGUGGGGAGCAAACAGG
rnacentral:rRNA from 1 species